AGAAUGAACGUUGGCGGCGUGGAUUAGGCAUGCAAGUCGUACGGGCCGCAAGGCCAGUGGCGCAAGGGUGAGUAAGGCGACGGUAACCAACCCCAUGACUGGGUAUAGCCGCGGGAAACUGCGGGUAAUCCCCAGCGACGUCCCGGGGGGGCAUCCCCUGGGGACCAAAGCUCCGGCGUCGUGGGACGGGCCGUCGUGGUAUUAGGUUGUUGGCGGGGUAAUGGCCCACCAAGCCUGCGAUGCCUACCGGGCGUGCGAGCGUGGCCCGGCACACUGGGACUGAGACACUGCCCAGACUCCUACGGGAGGCUGCAGUCGAGAAUCUUCGGCAAUGGGCGCAAGCCUGACCGAGCGACGCCGCGUGGAGGAUGAAGGCCCUUGGGGUGUAAACUCCUUUCGACCGGGAAAAUAUGAUGGUACCGGUGGAAGAAGCACCGGCUAACUCUGUGCCAGCAGCCGC
rnacentral:rRNA from 1 species